AGCAUAGGCAUUUGGUUUGGUGCCAGAAUUAAUCACUCCAGAGGCCUCGGAUAAGGCAAUCUCAGUUCUGUUGCCACCUUGGGUGAGUGCCCAAGUGAGAUUGCUCCAUGCUUCAGACUCUCCCUCUUUUUGGGGGGAAAUUCUAUGUACAUGGUUUGCAUGACUGUGCCUAAGAAUAAGCUGAUGGGACUGGUUUUGAUUUUGCAGGCACUUUUGGACUAACUCUGAGAAAGAUCUUUGCAUAGCUUUGGAAACCUUAACAUUGUAACAUUAGCUACGCUUUCACUAUCAAAAAGACUAUGUUUAUUCUUUCAUGCAUUCAUUUUUG
rnacentral:lncRNA from 1 species